CACUGUCGUGAUCCCGUGCCGGAUUGGACAAAACAAGAUGGCGGCGGGAACAAAUCGAAAAAGAUAUGGAUGCAUCGUUUAAUGAAAUAUACGAGAAGGAGGAAUUUAAAUAAUAUAGCUUAUCUUACCGAAAGACCACUGUUUUGGUAAACCCCAAAGAGCUCGUUGGGCCAGAAAAAAGGAAAGGAGGAACCGUUAGUAAGCCAGAGGAAUCGUCCGCAAAACCUUUAAGCAUACGAGAAUUUCAUCAUGCACAUGAGGCGAAGUUCGAAAUUGCAUCAUGUUACUUAGUAGGGCCUUUCCGUCAGAGGUCAGAAAAACAGCCUCGAAUGUAUCAUCAUCAACGGGUGUUAAAAAUUUAUACA